UUAGUGUGCUGUCCGAUAUCCCUGUCACCCGCCCGGCAAUGUGGUCAGGCUCCAUGACAACAGGGAGUUCCAAAGUGCUACCGUGAAUGGGAAUGACACCACCGUGCCCCACAGCAUCUGAUGGCAAGUUACUCCCCACUGUGUCCACGGCUAAAGGUUCGUGGCUCCGGGAGCCAUUCGGGAUCUGCGUGUGAUCCCCGGCUACAUCAUCCAUCCACAACAAGCCAAGAAAUGAACAGCUUAAUCAGCUGCAUCAAAUAUUCCUGCAUGCAAUGCUCCCUUGUGGCUUGAACACAGAGGAUCCUUGAUGACAGCAAGAUGACUGACAGAAGAACUGUAUAAAACAUCACAGGAAGAUUAUUCCAGCUCAGAAAAUGGCAAAUACCUUUGGUCCUAGUGCACAGUUUCCUUCUCUACUCUUUGGCCACUGAACAGGCAGACAUGCAGUGCAGUAGGAAAGGUUACUCCUAAGCAGCUGGGAAGUUCAGCCAUCAGUCAACAGGUAGCUGCACAAGACCUAGGCCACUAGCUUAUUCCUAACCCAGGCUGAACCAACAACACUCAGAGAGUCACCUUGAAGAAGUUUAACUAUCUGUCUGUUCCACCCUGUCAAUCUUAGCUACCAAAUAAAACCAGGACUGCAUUUAAA